GCAGAAAAGGAGUGAGCAGAACCUGGUGGUGAGUAUUUUUCACUGAACACUGGUUUCUCUUCACCUCAAUACGUUAUUGUUUAAAACCAGUAUUUGUUUAAAUCUGACCAAGAAUUUUAAAGGGAAGGACUCACUCAUAUGCCCCUUGAAAUCAAGGAAAUAAUUUCUGAGCAAGGCUAGUGGAAUAGUAGAUGAGCAUUAAAUAAAUUUUAGAGUGUUAAAGGCAUAAGUGCUGGUGUCAGUAGUUUCACUGUGAUGGAGAGCAAAUGGGAUGGUAACCAGCUGAUACACACCUCAACAAGGAGCUCACGGGGGCAGCUAAGAAAUGGUACAGAGCCAUGAGUAGGAACAGUGAUACACACAACACUAUUUAUCUCAGUGUAGCUGAUAUCUACCCAUGAACAAAUCUCUGAAGCCCCCACUGCUUCCAUAUGUCAAGUGAGAAAUGAGUUUCUUCUGAUCCUUCUCUUCAUUUCUGCCUAAAAGUCCCAGCAUGGCUGUGUAUGGGGACACACAUUUUUGGUCUUUUUGUAGGGUUUCACUGUGACUGCAGGGAAGCAAGCUCCAUCUCAUGUCAGGAGACCUACAGGGAGUCAUGCCACGGUGUGAGCUGCUGCAAAGCCAUUCCCAAACACUGCUGGAGCAGCCCCGUCGAGGCAGGUGCCCAUCAUGGAAUGAGAAAGCAGGACUGCUGGAUUGUUUCACUGGCUCCUUCACCCGUCCCAGCCUGUGCCGAAUGA
rnacentral:lncRNA from 1 species